rnacentral:rRNA from 1 species
AGAGUUUGAUCCUGGCUCAGAACGAACGCUGGCGGCAGGCUUAACACAUGCAAGUCGAACGCACCGCAAGGUGAGUGGCAGACGGGUGGGUAACGCGUGGGAACGUGCCCUUCAGUUCGGGAUAACCCAGGGAAACUUGGGCUAAUACCGGAUACGUGCGAGAGCAGAAAGAUUGAUCGCUGAAGGAUCGGCCCGCGUCUGAUUAGCUAGUUGGUAGGGUAAUGGCCUACCAAGGCGACGAUCAGUAGCUGGUCUGAGAGGAUGAUCAGCCACAUUGGGACUGAGACACGGCCCAAACUCCUACGGGAGGCAGCAGUGGGGAAUAUUGGACAAUGGGCGCAAGCCUGAUCCAGCCAUGCCGCGUGAGUGAUGAAGGCCUUAGGGUUGUAAAGCUCUUUCGGCGGGGACGAUAAUGACGGUACCCGCAGAAGAAGCCCCGGCUACUUCGUGCCAGCAGCCGCGGUAAUACGAAGGGGGCUAGCGUUGUUCGGAAUCACUGGGCGUAAAGGGCGCGUAGGCGGCCUGAUAAGUCGGGGGUGAAAGCCUGUGGCUCAACCACAGAAUUGCCUUCGAUACUGUCGGGCUUGAGACCGGAAGAGGUAAGUGGAACUGCGAGUGUAGAGGUGAAAUUCGUAGAUAUUCGCAAGAACACCAGUGGCGAAGGCGGCUUACUGGUCCGGUUCUGNNGCUGAGNNNCGAAAGCGUGGGGAGCAAACAGGAUUAGAUACCCUAGUAGUCC